GACAGAGGUCCCAAGCGUUGUUCGGAUUCACUGGGCGUAAAGGGUGCGUAGGCGGUUGGAUAAGUCGGUUGUGAAAUCUCCAAGCUCAACUUGGAAAAGGCAACCGAAACUAUCCGGCUAGAGGAAUGGAGGGGAGACUGGAAUUCUCGGUGUAGCAGUGAAAUGCGUAGAUAUCGAGAGGAACACCGGUGGCGAAGGCGAGUCUCUGGACAUUUCCUGACGCUGAGGCACGAAAGCCAGGGGAGCAAACGGG
rnacentral:rRNA from 1 species